rnacentral:rRNA from 1 species
UACGUAGGGAGCAAGCGUUGUCCGGAUUUAUUGGGCGUAAAGAGCUCGUAGGCGGUUAAGUAAGUCAGGUGUGAAACCUCCAGGCUCAACCUGGAGACGCCACUUGAUACUGCUUUGACUUGAGUUCGGUAGGGGUAAGGCGGAAUUCCUGGUGUAGCGGUGGAAAUGACGCAGAUAUCAGGAGGAACACCGGUGGCGAAGGCGGGUCUCUGGGCCGAUAUCGACGCUGAGGAGCGAAAGCGUGGGGAGCGAACAGG